rnacentral:tRNA from 1 species
GGGGUCGUGGCCUAGUCCGGGAAGGCGGCUGACUCCAGAGGCAACGUGCCCGGUGACGACACUCCAGGGUUGAUAUACUGAGCGGCCGACUGAUCAUCGGCUCGCGUUGAUGACCCUCUGGAGUUCCGAGGCACACACCGGAGAUAUCAGCCGAUCGGGGGUUCAAAUCCCUCCGACCCCA